rnacentral:misc_RNA from 1 species
UGGACCAGUGCUUCGCCCU